rnacentral:misc_RNA from 1 species
AUUGUGUAUAAGAGACAGGUGAGUCAUCGAAUCUUUGAACGCACAUUGCGCCCGCCAGCAUUCUGGCGGGCAUGCCUGUCCGAGCGUCAUUUCAACCAUCAAGCCCCGGGCUUGUGUUGGGGACCUGCGUCCGACGCAGGCCCUGAAAACCAGUGGCGGGCUCGCUGUCCACGCCGAGCGUAGUAACUCACCUCGCUGCGGAGUGGCGCGGGCGCCUGCCGUGAAACCCCCGACCCCCAAAGGUUGACCUCGGAUCAGGUAGGAAUACCCGCUGAACUUAAGCAUAUCAAUAAGCGGAGG